CACGGGGGUUGGAGGGCAAGUCUGGUGCCAGCAGCCGCGGUAAUUCCAGCUCCAAUAGCGUAUAUUAAAGUUGUUGCAGUUAAAAAGCUCGUAGUUGAAUUUCGGGAUCAAUAUUUCGGUCAUGCCGUUGGUAUGCACUGUUAUCAUUGAUUUCUCACCUUCUAAAGAACCGUAAUGCCAUUAAUUUGGUGUUACGGGGAAUUAGGACUGUUACCUUGAAAAAAUUAGAGUGUUUAAAGCAGGCUCACGCUUGAAUACAUUAGCAUGGAAUAAUGAAAUAGGACAUCCGAUUCUAUUUUGUUGGUUUCUAGGAUCGAUGUAAUGAUUAAUAGGGAUAGUUGGGGGCAUUAGUAUUCAAUUGUCAGAGGUGAAAUUCUUGGAUUUAUUGAAGACUAACUACUGCGAAAGCAUUUGCCAAGGAUGUUUUCAUUAAUCAAGAACGAAAGUUAGGGGAUCGAAGACGAUCAGAUACCGUCGUAGUC
rnacentral:rRNA from 1 species